UGGGGAAUAUUGCACAAUGGGCGCAAGCCUGAUGCAGCCAUGCCGCGUGUGUGAAGAAGGCCUUCGGGUUGUAAAGCACUUUCAGCGGGGAGGAAGGCGAUAAGGUUAAUAACCUCAUCGAUUGACGUUACCCGCAGAAGAAGCACCGGCUAACUCCGUGCCAGCAGCCGCGGUAAUACGGAGGGUGCAAGCGUUAAUCGGAAUUACUGGGGGUAAAGCGCACGCAGGCGGUCUGUCAAGUCGGAUGUGAAAUCCCCGGGCUCAACCUGGGAACUGCAUUCGAAACUGGCAGGCUAGAGUCUUGUAGAGGGGGGUAGAAUUCCAGGUGUAGCGGUGAAAUGCGUAGAGAUCUGGAGGAAUACCGGUGGCGAAGGCGGCCCCCUGGACAAAGACUGACGCUCAGGUGCGAAAGCGUGGGGAGCAAACAGG
rnacentral:rRNA from 1 species